UACAGAGGUCCCGAGCGUUGUUCGGAUUCAUUGGGCGUAAAGGGUGCGUAGGCGGCGGGGAAAGUCUGAUGUGAAAUCCUGGGGCUCAACGCUGGAACUGCAUUGGAUACUUCCUUGCUAGAGUACUGGAGAGGAAACUGGAAUUUACGGUGUAGCAGUGAAAUGCGUAGAGAUCGUAAGGAAGACCAGUGGCGAAGGCGAGUUUCUGGACAGUUACUGACGCUGAGGCACGAAGGCCAGGGGAGCAAACGGG
rnacentral:rRNA from 1 species